rnacentral:rRNA from 1 species
UGGGGAAUUUGGACAAUGGGCGAAAGCCUGAUCCAGCCAUGCCGCGUGAGUGAAGAAGGCCUUCGGGUUGUAAAGCUCUUUUAGUCGGAAAGAAAGAGUUGCAAUGAAUAAUUGUGAUUUAUGACGGUACCGACAGAAAAAGCACCGGCUAACUACGUGCCAGCAGCCGCGGUAAUACGUAGGGUGCGAGCGUUAAUCGGAAUUACUGGGCGUAAAGGGUGCGCAGGCGGUCUUGCAAGUCAGAUGUGAAAGCCCCGGGCUUAACCUGGGAAUUGCGUUUGAAGCUACAAGGCUAGAGUGCAGCAGAGGGGAGUGCAAUUCCAUGUGUAGCAGUGAAAUGCGUAGAGAUGUGGAAGAACACCGAUGGCGAAGGCAGCUCCCUGGGUUGACACUGACGCUCAUGCACGAAAGCGUGGGGAGCAAACA